GACGAACGCUGGCGGCGUGCUUAACACAUGCAAGUCGAACGGAAAGGCCCUGCUUUUGUGGGGUGCUCGAGUGGCGAACGGGUGAGUUACACGUGAGUAACCUGCCCUUGACUUUGGGAUAACUUCAGGAAACUGGGGCUAAUACCGGAUAGGAGCUCUUGCUGCAUGGUGGGGGUUGGAAAGUUUCGGCGGUUGGGGAUGGACUCGCGGCUUAUCAGCUUGUUGGUGGGGUAGUGGCUUACCAAGGCUUUGACGGGUAGCCGGCCUGAGAGGGUGACCGGCCACAUUGGGACUGAGAUACGGCCCAGACUCCUACGGGAGGCAGCAGUGGGGAAUAUUGCACAAUGGGCGGAAGCCUGAUGCAGCAACGCCGCGUGCGGGAUGACGGCCUUCGGGUUGUAAACCGCUUUCGCCUGUGACGAAGCGUGAGUGACGGUAAUGGGUAAAGAAGCACCGGCUAACUACGUG
rnacentral:rRNA from 1 species